rnacentral:rRNA from 1 species
AUUGAACGCUGGCGGCAUGCCUUACACAUGCAAGUCGAACGGUAACAGGUCUUCGGAUGCUGACGAGUGGCGAACGGGUGAGUAAUACAUCGGAACGUGCCUAGUAGUGGGGGAUAACUACUCGAAAGAGUGGCUAAUACCGCAUGAGAUCUAUGGAUGAAAGCAGGGGAUCGCGAGACCUUGUGCUACUAGAGCGGCCGAUGGCAGAUUAGGUAGUUGGUGGGAUAAAAGCUUACCAAGCCGACGAUCUGUAGCUGGUCUGAGAGGACGAUCAGCCACACUGGGACUGAGACACGGCCCAGACUCCUACGGGAGGCAGCAGUGGGGAAUUUUGGACAAUGGGCGCAAGCCUGAUCCAGCAAUGCCGCGUGCAGGAUGAAGGCCUUCGGGUUGUAAACUGCUUUUGUACGGAACGAAAAGCCCUGGGUUAAUACCCUGGGGUCAUGACGGUACCGUAAGAAUAAGCACCGGCUAACUACGUGCCAGCCGCCGCAGUAACAC